GGCGAUGUGUUUAGCGUUCGCAAAUCAAUCCGCAGCCUCCGCAUGGGAUUUCAUCGCUUUCUGGAUUUGAUAUUCGGUAUGCCAAGUUUGCAGCCACGAGACUUCGAAUCACGCCUGCACGAAGAGCGAAGCCGCUAUUUAGUGGCAGAAUUGUUAUGCGCGGUUGAAUGCCAGGAAGAAUAUAUUGCCUUGUGUCGUUUCAUUCGCCAUUACCUUGCCCACCAGCAAACGUCUAAAAAAUACAUCGGGUUUG